UUGCAUCAAAUUUGUGCUGUCUGUAUGCAUU
rnacentral:piRNA from 1 species